rnacentral:lncRNA from 1 species
AUUAAUUUCCUCAACCCUCAAAAAAUGCCAAGGUUUUAAAAUUCAAUUCAAUUCAGGGAAGGCAAUUCUAUGAGAGAUUUAUAAUUAUUGUGGUCCAACUACACAGCCUCGAUCCAAGGUUUCAACCUGAAGUCCUGAGGUACAGCUGUGCCAAUAAUUUCAUCAUAUUCAUUCCACCUGCAUGGGAUCGUGAUGCUUUCAGCCUUGGAACACCAAUAUUCACUGACAGGACACAACUUACAGUGCGGAAAGCACGAACAAACAGAGCAGAGAGAUCCCAAACAAAGGAAACCCAUUACCUGGUGUAGCAAGUUGAAUAGGGACCCUCCCCACAAAAUUCAUGUCCAUCUGAAACCAGUGAAUGUGACGGUAUUUGGAAUUGGGUCUUUGCAAAUGUAAUCAAGUUAAGAUGGGGUCGUACUCGUUGGAGGGAGUCCUAACCCCAUGACUGGUGUCCUUGGAAGAAGUGAAAUCUGGAUACAAAGACACAGAUACAGAGGGGAGGAGGCCACGUGAAGAUGGAAGUGGAGACUGGAGCCACGUAUCUACAGCAAGCAAUGCCAAGGAUGGCUGGCAACCAUCAGAAGAGGAGACAAGCAGGGAACAGUCUUGCCUUCAGAGCCUAAGGAAGGAGCCAACCUUGUAAAACCUGUUUUCAAACUUCUAGCUUCUAGAAUGGUGAGAGAAUAUGCCCAAAUUACCUCUCAUGACUCAGGAGUUCCACGCUCCUGUCCUUAGUGGCUGAAGGGACCGUUUGCCACUUCCUUCUGAAAGGACCCUUGUUACUCAGACACGCUCCCAUCAAUUCAGAUGACAGCUAACUGACAUGAACACCCACAGAUGACUUCUUAACAUAAUACAAAUUGCAUUCUGUGAAUAAAU